rnacentral:tRNA from 1 species
UGAAGCUUUAUUUAUUGGUAAAAUGUUAGAUUUCAAAACUAAAAAAGUUAGUUCGAUUCUAGCAGUUUCUG